AUUCCGAACAGAGAAGUCAAGCCCACCAGAGCCGAUGGUACUGCGGUAACACGUGGGAGAGUAGGUCGGUGCCAAAU
rnacentral:rRNA from 1 species